rnacentral:tRNA from 1 species
GCCUCUGUGGCCUAGUGGUAAGGAUCACCCUCACUAGGUAAAGGUCCCGAGUUCAAAUCUCGGCAGAGGCU